UACGUAGGGCGCAAGCGUUGUCCGGAAUUAUUGGGCGUAAAGAGCUCGUAGGCGGUCUGUCGCGUCGGAUGUGAAAGCCCGGGGCUUAACCCCGGGUCUGCAUUCGAUACGGGCAGACUAGAGUGUGGUAGGGGAGAUCGGAAUUCCUGGUGUAGCGGUGAAAUGCGCAGAUAUCAGGAGGAACACCGGUGGCGAAGGCGGAUCUCUGGGCCAUUACUGACGCUGAGGUACGAAAGCGUGGGGAGCGAACAGG
rnacentral:rRNA from 1 species